AAAAUUAAAUCUUAAAUAAAAAUAUAAACUUUUAGGAGUUUAUUAAAAAAGAAAAUUUUUGCUUUAAAUUUUAACAAUAUAGGAUUAGGUUGUUGGUAAGGUAAAAGCUUACCAAGCCCAAGAUCCUUAGUUGGUUUGAGAGAACGUACAACCACAUUGGGACUGAGACAAGGCCCUAACUUUUAUAAGGCAGCAGUGAGGAAUAUUGGACAAUGAGAGAAAUCUUGAUCCAGUAAUAUUUUUUGGGUGAUUAUGACAGCUUUAAAAAACAAUAAGUUGUAAAACUCUAAGUUGAGAAAGAAAAUGACUUUAUCAAGUUAAGUCCCGGCAAACUUCGUGCCAGCAGCCGCGGUAAUACGUAUGUCUCGAGCGUUACCCGGAAUCACUGGGUGUAAAGGGUUUGUAGGCGGCUUGUUAAGUUGGAUAUGAAAGACCGGAGCUCAACUCCGAGUUUGUGUUCAAAACUGGCAAGCUAGAAUCAAGGAGAGGUAAGCGGAAUUCUAAGUGUAGGGGUGCAAUCCGUAGAUACUUAGAGGAACACCAAAAGCGAAGGCAGCUUACUGGAAUUGUAUUGACGCUGAGGAACGAAAGCGUGGGGAGCGAAAAGGAUUAGAUACCCUUGUAGUCCACGCCCUAAACGAUGAUAACUAAGUGUUGUGUUUUCGGAUGCAGUGCUGUAGCUAACGCGUUAAGUUAUCCACCUGAGGAGUACGGUCGCAAGAUUAAAACUCAAAUGAAUUGACGGGGGCCCGCACAAGCGGUGGAGCAUGUGGUUUAAUUCGAUGCAACGCGAAGAACCUUACCUACACUUGACAUGCUGAGAAGUUACUAGAGAUAGUUUCGUGCCUUCGGGAACUCAGACACAGGUGCUGCAUGGCUGUCGUCAGCUCGUGCCGUGAGGUGUUGGGUUAAGUCCCGCAACGAGCGCAACCCUUAUCCUUAGUUGCUAGCAGGUUAUGCUGAGAACU
rnacentral:rRNA from 1 species